AAUCAACGCUGGCGGCGUGCCUCAGACAUGCAAGUCGAACGAUUAAAGCUCUCUUCGGAGAGUGCAUAGAGUGGCGCACGGGUGAGUAACACGUAAGUAAUCUACCUUCGAGUGGGGAAUAACGUCCGGAAACGGGCGCUAAUACCGCAUAAUGCAGCGGCACCGCAAGGUGACAGUUGUUAAAGAUUUAUCGCUUGAGGAGGAGCUUGCGGCAGAUUAGCUAGUUGGUAGGGUAACGGCUUACCAAGGCUACGAUCUGUAACCGGUCUAAGAGGACGGUCGGUCACACUGACACUGAAUAACGGGUCAGACUCCUACGGGAGGCAGCAGUCGGGAAUUUUGGGCAAUGGGCGAAAGCCUGACCCAGCAACGCCGCGUGAAGGAUGAAGUAUUUCGGUAUGUAAACUUCGAAAGAAUAGGAAGAAUUAAUGACGGUACUAUUUAUAAGGUCCGGCUAACUACGUG
rnacentral:rRNA from 1 species